rnacentral:rRNA from 1 species
AUACGUAGGUGGCAAGCGUUGUCCGGAAUUAUUGGGCGUAAAGCGCGCGCAGGUGGUUCCUUAAGUCUGAUGUGAAAGCCCCCGGCUCAACCGGGGAGGGUCAUUGACAACUGGGGAACUUGAGUGCAGAAGAGGAUAGUGGAAUUCCAAGUGUAGCGGUGAAAUGCGUAGAGAUUUGGAGGAACAUCCGUGGCGUAGGCGACUGUCUGGUCUGUAACUGACCCUGAGGCGCGAAAGCGUGGGGAGCAAACAGGAUUAGAUACCCUGGUAGUCCACGCCGUAAACGAUGAGUGCUAAGUGUUGGGGGGUUUCCGCCCCUCAGUGCUGCAGCUAACGCAUUAAGCACUCCGCCUGGGGGGUACGGUCGCAAGACUGAAACUCAAAUGAAUUGACGGGG